UGACACACAGGAAGUCUAAUUGUUGUUAGAACAUCUCAGAUCCAGGACCGCCAUUAGAGGGUCGCGAAUACGGUUCGUGAACGUCUGCUGAAGAAGACAUCAAGCCAGCUGAUUUGGCACAUUUUUCAGUGCUACAGCAACUAUACGAAGCUGAACUUGGUUAACUGAAUUUGACAGCAAACCUGCACAAGGGAAUCUACAUAGUGUAGAAUUGUCUCUGUACAAUUAUAAAUGUAUGCAUUUUUUAAUUCUUUUUUUUGCUUCAGAAUCAUAAAAGCAAAGUCUUCAAA